rnacentral:rRNA from 1 species
GACGAACGCUGGCGGCGUGCUUAACACAUGCAAGUCGAACGAUGAAGCGCCAGGUUGCUGGUGUGGAUUAGUGGCGAACGGGUGAGUAACACGUGAGUAACCUGCCCCCUACUCUGGGAUAAGCCUGGGAAACUGGGGCUAAUACUGGAUAUGACCAAUCACUGCAUGGGGUAUUGGAGGAAAGAUUGUUUGGUGGGGGACGGAUUGGCGGCCUAUCAGCUUGUUGGUGGGGUAAUGGCCUACCAAGGCGACGACGGGUAGCCGGCCCGAGAGGGCGACAGGCCACACUGGGACUGAGACACGGCCCAGACACCUACGGGAGGCAACAGUGGGGAAUAUUGCACAAUGGGCGAAAGCCUGAUGCAGCGACGCCGCGUGCGGGAUGACGGCCUUCGAGUUGUAAACCUCUUUCACCAGGGACGAAGCUGACGUGACGGUACCUGAAGAAGAAGCACCGGCUAACUACGUG